rnacentral:rRNA from 1 species
CCUACGGGAGGCAGCAGUGGGGAAUAUUGCACAAUGGGCGAAAGCCUGAUGCAGCGACGCCGCGUGAGGGAUGACGGCCUUCGGGUUGUAAACCUCUUUCAGCAGGGAAGAAGCGAAAGUGACGGUACCUGCAGAAGAAGCGCCGGCUAACUACGUGCCAGCAGCCGCGGUAAUACGUAGGGCGCAAGCGUUGUCCGGAAUUAUUGGGCGUAAAGAGCUCGUAGGCGGCUUGUCACGUCGGUUGUGAAAGCCCGGGGCUUAACCCCGGGUCUGCAGUCGAUACGGGCAGGCUAGAGUGUGGUAGGGGAGAUCGGAAUUCCUGGUGUAGCGGUGAAAUGCGCAGAUAUCAGGAGGAACACCGGUGGCGAAGGCGGAUCUCUGGGCCAUUACUGACGCUGAGGAGCGAAAGCGUGGGGAGCGAACAGGAUUAGAUACCCUGGUAGUCCACGCCGUAAACGGUGGGAACUAGGUGUUGGCGACAUUCCACGUCGUCGGUGCCGCAGCUACGCAUUAACGUUACCCGUCCGUCGGGAGGUACGGCCGCGACGGACGUAAACGUAACGAAAGGAAAGUUAGACGGACGUGAGACGUAGCCGAACGGACGACGACGAGGGAGAGG